UCCCUGGUAGCUCAGAUGGUAAAGCAUCUGCCUGCAAUGCAGGAGACCUAGGUUCAAUCCCUGGGUCGGGAA
rnacentral:tRNA from 1 species